UCAUCACCAUCAUCACCCUGAUUGAUCUUUCGGGCGUUUUGUGGUGUUCGGAAGAAAAGAAAACUUCCGGGCAAGUGUGGAAACAGGAUUGCUAAACCUCUCGGAAGGAAACUUUCGGGAGGUUUUUUUA
rfam:Mannheimia succiniciproducens MBEL55E, complete genome.